GCCCCAGCGGCUAACCGCAUCAAGAUAUACGGAUUUGUUUUUGACUGGCAUUUGUCUUUCAGGUGUCGCAUAUGUGUGCCUUGCCUCUGAUAGCUGACUACUGUGCUUGGUAGCCACAUUGACUGCACGCACGACCACUCACAAUCCCGGACGAAUUAUAACGGUCAUCACGGUCUGCGACUACUGUGGGCCCACCGACUACAAGCCCUGAUCACAAUAAAUCUUGUAGAACUCUGCCCUGGUAGUUUUUUCCUGUUGGCCGGAUCAGUUAUAAUUCUUCCACCUGUUGUGAGGUGGUGGUGUUGCCCAUCAGUAGAGUGGUGACACAGUAGAUUGAUGUUCACGGCCAGUAGAGAUGAUCCUCACAUUUGAUCCUAACCUGAGGGCUGUCUAGCCUGACAUCGUGUCACUCAUUCUUCAUUAUCUGGAGACCUAUUUGUAGUUGGAAAGGCAGUUGUCUACUAACGAUUCAGGUGCAGUGGAGUGUAGACCUCAGCUAACUCCCAGUCCCCCUGAACUAUACGAUUAUGGACGGGGAAGAGAACCAGGAACAGACAUCUGCAAGUAGACGACAGGUGCGCCUAACUGAGGCAGGAAGAGAACACCAGAAGGAGAUGAAGACGAAGGUGUUCAAGAGGCAGCUCAAGGAGCUGAAAAGGCACACUGAGAAGAUGGUGGAGGACGAUGGCACUAUCGCCCCAGACUUGGGAAAACCAGAACUGAAGGAGUGGACCCAUUGCUAUGUGAAUCUUCUUCAGACUCUGUCAGACCUGAGAAUCCUGCUGCCAUCAGACGAGGUCGCCCUCCUUCAGAGAGACAUUGAACAGUUUCAAGCACUCAACUUGCAGAUGCAAGAAGCCCUGGAGAAACUGAGGAGCACAGAAGCCCGAGCUCCGUCGGUGACCGGUCGCAGUGGGAACUCUCGGACAUCGACAUCGGUUGCUUCUGUUCGAGCCUCCUUGAAGAUCCUGCAAAUGCAAGACGAACAUCAGAAAGCAGCCCUGCGAGCGAGACAAGCGGCUGUGCUGAGAAGACGAGAAAUCGAACAAGAGAAACAGGCCAUCAAGUGGAAAGAGGAGGAUCUUGAACUGGAAGUGGAGCUCAGCACUGUGGAAGAGCAGAGUAAGGCACUGCACAAAUUUGAGAUGGAGUUGGAAGACGGAAAGACCUACAGACUACCUGCGGAGAAUGACGUGACAGCUCCAGCGGAGUCAAUCCAAGUAGGACCUGUUCGAAGUGCAGGUGCUCCCGUGACAACCAGCGAAGUUCGCGGCGAUAUAUCUUCCUCUCAGCGCGCCAGCGUUUCGCUCAGCGUGGCAGAUGCCGGAGCAGCGCCUCUGUCAUCUGCGCAGGGCGGCAGCGCUCACAUUAGCGUAGCUGACGGGCCUGAAUCGACUACACUUCAUCAUGGGCUGAACCCUGGCGCACGUAUCUUCAGGCCCAGCGCGAUGAUAGAGCCAGAGGAGCAGCUAAAUGUAGAACGUAGCUCCGGGACGCUAGCUGCGGGACCCACUAACUUAUCAGAUCUGUUCGCAGAGCAGCGAAGAGGCCAGCUUCCAGCGCUGGAACCAGAGGUCUUCCAGGGAAGCGUCGAGAGGUUUCAUCCCUGGGUGAAGGCCUUCGAGAGCUUCAUCGAGAGCAGAACGUCAUCGGCGACAGAACGACUGCACUACCUCUCCAGGUACACCGGAGGAGAAGCGAGAACAGUGAUUGAAGGAUUUCUUCUCCUUAGGUCAGCAGACGCGUACAAUCAAGCGAAGAAGAAGCUGUACGACCGCUACGGAAAUGACUUCAUCGUCUCACGCACGUACCGCAAGAAGCUGAAGGAGUGGCCACCGGUGCGCGCUGGUGAUGGGAGCGGUCUAAGACGAUUGGCGGACUACCUGGAUAGCUGCCUCGCGGUCUCACAUCACGUAUCGGGUCUCGAAUCUCUUAACGACUGCAACCAGAACAACGAGAUCCUGCGGAAACUGCCUAAACACAUCGUGGACAAGUGGAGGCGUGUCGUCGACAAGAGACUGUUCGAGCCUGACGCGGGGACUCAACCGGGCUACCCGCCGUUCGAAGAGUUUGUGAGUUUCCUGAACAGGGAGGCUAGGAUCGCCUGUGGACCGGUCGACGGCACACCAGAUGUAUUUUCGACUUCGGGUCGAGACACACCAGCCAGAGGUCGUGUCAGCCGCAAGGAAAGCGCUCACACCUUCAUUUCUUUGGCAGCAUCAGAUGAACCGGCUGACGCCCCGAAGCACCGAACUCCACCGUCAGCGAAGCCACGGCCUCCUUGGCCAUGCAAGAUCUGUGGACAGCAGCACUCUAUCGAGACAUGCAAGGACUUCAAGGCCAUGACAUCAGAAGAGAGGCACGAGGCGGUCAAGCGACAUGGACUCUGUAGAGGCUGUCUCCGCCACGGUCACAUUUGGAAGGAAUGCCGAAGCAGGAGAAGAUGUGAGAAGUGUGGUUACUCUCACCCAACGCUGUUGCACAGCGACUCAAGAGAGAAGAACACGGCGUCGACUCCGGUGAAGAGGCCAGCAGGCUCAAGCGACGGCACUCCGGAAACUCGUGCAACCACAUUCAAGGUGGCGGUUGAGGGCGAUUGUCAGAAAUCAGCCUGUCUUCACACCAUGAUUGUUCCCGUCAUUCUUCGAAGCGAGGACGACCCUAAUCGACAGGCAAUCGUCUACGCAGUUCUUGACCCGCAGUCAGAUGCGUGUUUCAUGACCGAAACAACGCUGCAGAAAGUUGGAGGCAGAGGAGAGAAGAUUGCGCUUCAACUCAGCACCAUGGCUGGAAAGGCAACGGUGGACAGCCUCAGAGUGACGGGACUUUCGGUCCAAGGGCUCACGACCACCGACCGCAUCAACCUUCCAGCCACCUACACACGGGUCGAGAUACCAGCGGAGAGACACCUCAUCCCUCGAACAACCACGCUGCAAAAGUGGAAGCAUCUCGAGCAUCUGAUGGAAGAUCUUCCUCCUCACCUACCGGACGCAGACAUCGGACUACUUAUCGGUAUGAACUGCCCCCGCGCAGUGAAGCCGAGAGAGAUUGUUCCAGGAAGCGGCGAAGACCCAUGGGCAAUCAGAACAGAACUGGGAUGGAGCGUUGUGGGAUUCGUUGAGGGAUCCACAUCUGCUCCAACAUGCCACUGCGUACAGGCGGCAGAGUCGAAGACGUGUCACUUCGUACUCAAAACUCAGGCACGAGAAGUAAGUCCACUGGAAGUCGCACGCAUGUUCGAGGCCGACUUUCGUGACGAACACACGGAGAAGAAGGUAUCACAAGAAGACCGACGAUUCUUGAGGAUAAUGGAGGAGAACUUCCAUCAGAGAGCCGACAAACACUUCGAAGGACCACUUCCUCUGAAGGACCAGAAUGUGAAGUUCCCAGACAACAAGAAGCUGGCAUUGAAGCGGCUUUUCUGCCUGAAAAGAAGACUCGCUAACGACAAGAAGUUCAGCGAUGACUACAACAAGUUCAUGGCCGACUCGUUCAACAAGGGAUAUGCGGAGCGGGUGCCAGAAGACGAACUGGGAAACGACGAUGGAAGGGUCUGGUUCGUCCCUCACCACGGUGUCUACCACGCAAAGAAAGGGAAAAUCAGAGUCGUCUACGACUGCAGCGCUGAAUACCAAGGAUUCUCGCUGAAUAACAGCCUUCUCCAAGGACCAGACUUCAUCAACAAUCUGCUGGGCGUAAUCAUCCGCUUCAGAAAAGAUGAAGUGGCGAUCAGCUGCGACAUCCAGGAGAUGUUUAAUCAGGUGCUCGUGACUGAGCAGCACAGGGAUCUGCUCAGAUUCCUGUGGUGGGAAAACGGCGACUUAUCCGGAGAGCCCGUCCAGUAUCGGAUGAAGACUCAUCUCUUCGGCGCGGUCUCCUCCCCCGCAUGCGCGAUGUACGCCCUGAACGCUACGGCAGACACGUACGAGCAGAAGUACGGGAAAGAAGCGGCAGAUUUUGUCAGACACAACUUCUACGUGGACGAUGGGCUCAUCAGCGUUCCGGAUGCCGACACUGCUGCGCGUCUAGCCAUGGACACGAUCCACCUGUGCGCAGAUGGAGGAUUCAAACUCAACAAGUUUGUUUCCAACGACCCCUCUGUCGUCGCUAGCCUUCCCCCUGACAGUGUCUCUAAGGGAAUGACAUCAGUAGACGUCAGUCUGCACCACCCUACUUACGAGCAAGCACUCGGACUGAAGUGGAACACCGAAACAGACACACUGCACAUCAACGUGGACCUUGCAGACAAGCCCAUUACAAGACGGGGCAUUCUGUCGACGGUGAGUUCACUGUACGAUCCAGUCGGUCUGAUAUCUCCGGUAAUCCUGAAAGGCAAGCAGUUCGUGAAGCUCCUCUGCUGUGACGGCUAUGACUGGGACGAACCUGUGGCAGAAGACGUCGCCGUGCGCUGGCUGCAGUGGAGGGAAAGUAUAUGCUUGCUUUCCGACAUCUCUGUCCCCAGACGCUACGUCUCCAACAAGGGCAAGAUCAAGAUUUACGAGUUGCAUCACUUCUCCGAUGCAAGUACAUCUGGCUACGGUCAGGUUACCUACCUGCGAACCAUCGAUGAGCUUGGACACAUCUGUUCGGGUCUCGUGAUCAGCAAGGCGAAGGUGACGCCCAAGCGGGCAGUCACGAUCCCGCGGCUCGAGCUGACCGCGGCGGUCCUCUCCGUGAAGGUCGCGAGCUUCUUGGACAAGAAGCUCAACAUCCGGAACCUGCGCCACUUCUUCUGGACCGACAGCAUGGUCGUGCUCGGUUAUAUCGGCAAUGAAAGCAGAAGGUUUCAAGUUUUCGUUGCUAACCGAGUUCAACAGAUACGGGAACACACUGUCCCGGACCAAUGGAGAUUCGUGAAAUCUGAGGACAAUCCAGCAGAUCUGGCCUCCCGUGGCCUCGAUGCAAGUGAGCUCAAGAACUGUGACCUCUGGUGGCACGGACCCAAGUUCUUGAUGGAUUCGGCAGAGCUCUCAGCAGAACCACGGUUCGUCGAGGUACAAGAAGACGAUCCAGAGGUGAAGAAAACAAGAGUGUUGGUCACCAGCAGCCGACAAGACGACGCCAAGUUUGAUCUGUCAAGCCGACUUGUUCCCUUUUCAAGCUGGUUCCGCGCCAAGAAGGCAGUAGCGAUCUGCCUACGAUACAGACGACGACUCCUGAACCGAAUCAGGCAAAAGCGGACCUGCAGCACAACCACUGAAGGUAUGGAGGAGAGCAAAUCGCUGACAGACAUGCCCAUUGACACAGAUGAGCUGAACGACGCAGAAGUGACCAUUCUGAAGAACGUUCAGGAAGAUGAAUUCGAAGAGGAGUUGGUGAACCUGGCAACUCAAGAGGAUCCGACGACAGAUCGGAAACAAGUCAAGAAGCGGAGCAGCGUGCGCCGUCUGGACCCGUUUCUUGCCAGAGAUGGACUCUUGCGAGUAGGCGGACGGCUGAGGAGAAGCGAUCUGCCCCUGGAGACGGCACACCCUGUGAUACUGCCAAAGGAUCACCACGUCAGCCGCCUCAUCAUCGCGCACUUCCAUGAAAAGACCAAGCACUCAGGCCGAACGAUGACGCUGAGCGAGAUUCGGCUGUCCGGAUUUUGGAUUCUUCACGGAAGAACGGCGGUAUCUCGGUACAUACAGAAGUGCGUCAAAUGCAUCAAGCUCAGAGGAACACCGUGCGGCCAGAAGAUGGCAGACCUGCCGGAGGAGAGAGUGGGACAGAUGGAACCGUUCACCUAUUCCGGAUGUGACUGUUUCGGACCCUUCAUCAUCAAAGAGCGUCGCAGCGAGCUGAAGAGAUGGGGCAUCGUGUUUACGUGCAUGAGCUCGAGAGCCGUUCACCUCGAGACUCUGAACUCGCUGACUGCAGACGCUUUCAUCAACGCCUACCGACGUUUUGUUAGUCGGAGGGGACCAGUCAGAAAGCUCUUCUGCGACAACGCCACGAAUUUCAUCGGUGGCGAGGGAUAUCUCAUGGCAGCACUCAACGAGAUGGACCGAGAUCAGGUCAGGAGGACCAUCCUGAAGGACAACUGCGACCUCGUGGAAUUCGACCACAUCACCCCACGGGCUAGUCACAUGGGCGGCGCCUGGGAGCGCCAGAUACGGUCUGUUCGCGCCGCUCUCAACAGCCUGUUCCAAGAUGUGGGACUCCAGAUCGACGACGAACUUCUUCGAACGGUCAUGACAGAAGCCGAAGCCGUAGUUAACAGCCGCCCCCUGUCCUAUGCAUGCAUGACUGACUCAGAUGUAGUAGAGCCUAUCACCCCUAGUCAACUACUCACCUUGAAACAGAAGGUAGUUCUCCCUCUGCCGGGGAACUUCGACCGCCCGGACCUGUACGUCAGACAACGCUGGAGGAGGGUCCAGUAUCUCUCCAACCAGUUCUGGCUCCGCUGGAGGCGGGAGUUUCUGCCAACUCUCCAAGAGCGUCGCAAGUGGAACCGGACGGAGCUGAAUCUCGAGCCAGGCGACGUCGUGAUCAUCGUCGACGCUGACGCCCCGCGAUGCAGCUGGCCUCUGGGCCGCGUGGUUUCCACGUACCCGAGCAGUGAUGGACUGGUACGAAGUGUCCGAGUGCGUAUCGGCCGUGCUGAAUAUGACAGACCGAUACACAAAGUCAUCCGCAUGCUGAAGUCGUAGGGUGAUUCCCAGUCGAGGAGCCUUGUUUAUUUUCCUUGCGUUCGUGUGCGCUGCGCAAGUUCCGGUGACAAAGUGUCAUCGACACUAUUGUGAUAAUGUGUCACAGUGACGCCGUGAUCGAUUUGUGACAGCGUGUUGUUGCUGCGAAAUGUGAAUCACGCGUGCCAUUGUAUAACAGACUGCGUUUUGUAUAUAGCAGACAACGUCUCUGCUAUUCACGUUCUGUGUGGAAAAGUGAUGGAAAAUUAGGUAUAAGUACCGUAAUUUUGGGGAGCCAUGUUCCCGCCCCAGCGGCUAACCGCAUCAAGAUAUACGGAUUUGUUUUUGACUGGCAUUUGUCUUUCAGGUGUCGCAUAUGUGUGCCUUGCCUCUGAUAGCUGACUACUGUGCUUGGUAGCCACAUUGACUGCACGCACGACCACUCACAAUCCCGGACGAAUUAUAACGGUCAUCACGGUCUGCGACUACUGUGGGCCCACCGACUACAAGCCCUGAUCACAAUAAAUCUUGUAGAACUCUG
rnacentral:misc_RNA from 1 species